rnacentral:rRNA from 1 species
UACGUAGGGGGCUAGCGUUGUCCGGAUUUAUUGGGCGUAAAGAGCGUGUAGGCGGCCAUGUAGGUCCGGUGUGAAAACUCGAGGCUUAACCUCGAGAUGUCAUCGGAAACCAUUUGGCUAGAGUCCGGAAGAGGAGAGUGGAAUUCCUGGUGUAGCGGUGAAAUGCGCAGAUAUCAGGAGGAACACCGGUGGCGAAGGCGGUUCUCUGGGAAUAUCCUGACGCUGAGGAGCGAAAGCGUGGGGAGCGAACAGG